AUUGAACGCUGGCGGCAGGCCUAACACAUGCAAGUCGAACGAGCGGCGGACGGGUGAGUAAUGUCUGGGGAUCUGCCCGAUAGAGGGGGAUAACUACUGGAAACGGUGGCUAAUACCGCGUACCAUAGGAUGAGCCCAAGUGGGAUUAGGUAGUUGGUGGGGUAAAGGCUCACCAAGCCGACGAUCCCUAGCUGGUCUGAGAGGAUGACCAGCCACACUGGGACUGAGACACGGCCCAGACUCCUACGGGAGGCAGCAGUGGGGAAUAUUGCACAAUGGGCGAAAGCCUGAUCCAGCCAUGCCGCGUGUAUGAAGAAGGCCUUAGGGUUGUAAAGUACUUUCAGCUGGGAGGCGUUACCAGCAGAAUAAGCACCGGCUAACUCCGUGCCAGCAGCCGCGGUAAUUC
rnacentral:rRNA from 1 species